UAGCCUAGUGGUUAUGGCCAUGGAUCGCCAAUCCGGAGACGGCGGGUUCGAUUCCCGU
rnacentral:tRNA from 1 species